rnacentral:rRNA from 1 species
AGGACGAACGCUGGCGGCGUGCUUAACACAUGCAAGUCGAACGGAUCACUUUCGGGUGGUUAGUGGCGAACGGGUGAGUAACACGUGGGUAACCUGCCCCUCACUCUGGGAUAACUCCGGGAAACUUGAGCUAAUACCGCAUAAGCCCGAAAGGGGAAAGAUUUAUCGCCAGUAAAUCAGCCCGCGUCCGAUUAGCUAGUUGGUGGGGUAAAGGCUCACCAAGGCUCCGAUCGGUAGCUGUUCUGAGAGGAAGAUCAGCCACACUGGGACUGAGACACGGCCCAGACUCCUACGGGAGGCAGCAGUUGGGAAUCUUGGACAAUGGGGGAAACCCUGAUCCAGCCAUGCCGCGUGAGUGAUGAAGGCCUUAGGGUUGUAAAACUCUUUCGACGGGGACGAUAAUGACGGUACCCGUAGAAGAAGCUCCGGCUAACUUCGUGCCAGCAGCCGC